GGGUGAGUAACACGUGAGCAACCUGCCCCUGACUCUGGGAUAAGCGCUGGAAACGGCGUCUAAUACUGGAUACGAGACGUGAUCGCAUGGUCAACGUUUGGAAAGAUUUUUCGGUUGGGGAUGGGCUCGCGGCCUAUCAGCUUGUUGGUGAGGUAAUGGCUCACCAAGGCGUCGACGGGUAGCCGGCCUGAGAGGGUGACCGGCCACACUGGGACUGAGACACGGCCCAGACUCCUACGGGAGGCAGCAGUGGGGAAUAUUGCACAAUGGGCGAAAGCCUGAUGCAGCAACGCCGCGUGAGGGAUGACGGCCUUCGGGUUGUAAACCUCUUUUAGCAGGGAAGAAGCGAGAGUGACGGUACCUGCAGAAAAAGCACCGGCUAACUACGUGCCAGCAGCCGCGGUAAUACGUAGGGUGCAAGCGUUAUCCGGAAUUAUUGGGCGUAAAGAGCUCGUAGGCGGUUUGUCGCGUCUGCUGUGAAAUCUGGGGGCUCAACCCCCAGCCUGCAGUGGGUACGGGCAGACUAGAGUGCGGUAGGGGAGAUUGGAAUUCCUGGUGUAGCGGUGGAAUGCGCAGAUAUCAGGAGGAACACCGAUGGCGAAGGCAGAUCUCUGGGCCGUAACUGACGCUGAGGAGCGAAAGGGUGGGGAGCAAACAGGCUUAGAUACCCUGGUAGUCCACCCCGUAAACGUUGGGAACUAGUUGUGGGGUCCAUUCCACGGAUUCCGUGACGCAGCUAACGCAUUAAGUUCCCCGCCUGGGGAGUACGGCCGCAAGGCUAAAACUCAAAGGAAUUGACGGGGACCCGCACAAGCGGCGGAGCAUGCGGAUUAAUUCGAUGCAACGCGAAGAACCUUACCAAGGCUUGACAUAUACGAGAACGGGCCAGAAAUGGUCAACUCUUUGGACACUCGUAAACAGGUGGUGCAUGGUUGUCGUCAGCUCGUGUCGUGAGAUGUUGGGUUAAGUCCCGCAACGAGCGCAACCCUCGUUCUAUGUUGCCAGCACGUAAUGGUGGGAACUCAUGGGAUACUGCCGGGGUCAACUCGGAGGAAGGUGGGGAUGACGUCAAAUCAUCAUGCCCCUUAUGUCUUGGGCUUCACGCAUGCUACAAUGGCCGGUACAAUGGGCUGCAAUACCGCGAGGUGGAGCGAAUCCCAAAAAGCCGGUCCCAGUUCGGAUUGAGGUCUGCAACUCGACCUCAUGAAGUCGGAGUCGCUAGUAAUCGCAGAUCAGCAACGCUGCGGUGAAUACGUUCCCGGGUCUUGUACACACCGCCCGUCA
rnacentral:rRNA from 1 species